AAGGCUGAAAUUCGCCUUCAUGAAGUCGGAAUUGCUAGUAAUGGCAGGUCAGCAUACUGCCGUGAAUACGUUCCCGGGCCUUGUACACACCGCCCGUCACACCAUGAGAGUUGGAGAUACCCGAAGCCUAUGAGCUAACUUUUAGAGGCAGUAGUCGAAGGUAGAAUCAAUGAUUGGGUGAAGUCGUAACAAGGUAAC
rnacentral:rRNA from 1 species